rnacentral:rRNA from 1 species
ACCUAAUAGAUACCCCGGUAGUCCACGCCCUAAACGAUGCGAACUGGAUGUUGGGUACAUUACGGUACUCAGUGUCGAAAGCUAAACGCGUUAAGUUCGCCGCCUGGGGAGUACGGUCGCAAGACUGAAACUCAAAGGAAUUGACGGGGGCCCGCACAAGCGGUGGAGUAUGUGGUUUAAUUCGAUGCAACGCGAAGAACCUUACCUGGCCUUGACAUCUGUCGAAUCCUGCAGAGAUGCGGGAGUGCCGCAAGGAACGACAAGACAGGUGCUGCAUGGCUGUCGUCAGCUCGUGUCGUGAGAUGUUGGGUUAAGUCCCGCAACGAGCGCAACCCGUUGUCCCUAGUUGCCAGCACAUCAUGGUGGGAACUCUAGGG